GAUGAACGCUGGCGGCGUGCUUAACACAUGCAAGUCGAACGGUGAACGAGGGAGCUUGCUCCCUCCGGAUCAGUGGCGAACGGGUGAGUAACACGUGAGCAAUCUGCCCCGAACUCUGGGAUAAGCGCUGGAAACGGCGUCUAAUACCGGAUACGACGCGCGAAGGCAUCUUCUGCGCGUGGAAAGAAUUUCGGUUCGGGAUGAGCGCGCGGCCUCUCAGCUAGUUGGUGAGGUAACGGCUCACCAAGGCGACGACGGGUAGCCGGCCUGAGAGGGUGACCGGCCACACUGGGACUGAUACACGGCCCAGACUCCUACGGGAGGCAGCAGUGGGGAAUAUUGCACAAUGGGCGCAAGCCUGAUGCAGCAACGCCGCGUGAGGGACGACGGCCUUCGGGUUGUAAAGCUCUUUUGGCGGGGACGAUAAUGACGGUACCCGCAGAAUAAGCCCCGGCUAACUUCGUGCCAGCCGCCGCUGUAAUA
rnacentral:rRNA from 1 species